UGAUUAAUAGUAUCAAGCAAGAACAAGCUCGUAAAUCACACGAGUUACAGGUGAGACCCUGCAGCUAUUUAAGUCUGAAUAUUCUAUUUAAUGCUUGAUGUGUUGAAAGCAAAAAUUAGUGAAUUUGUGAGUAUAACUAUACUUUUAUUCAAGAAUGGUUUUUAACUUUGCUCAAACUUUCUUUUUUAAAUUAUGGUUAAGAAAUAACAAAAUUUACUUUCAGAUGUUUUUUAAAUGUUGUAAUUAUGUUAUCAUGUAACAGAGCUUAAGAACUUUUAAAUUUUAUUACAAAGCUGAAACUAUGUGCCCCUUAAACAAAAACUCCUUAUUUUCCCCUCCUGCCAGCUCCUGGCAAUCAUACUGUUUCCUCUUCCAUUGUUUUGAUUACUCUUGAUAUCUCACAUGAGUAGAAUUGUAAAGUGUUUGUCCUUUUGUGAUACUGUUAUUUCACUCAGUAUAAUGUCCCUAGGGUUCAUCUGUGUUGUAGCAUGUAUCAAGAUUUCCUGUAUUUCUGGUUGGAUAAUAUUUCAUGUGUGUAUAUAUUUUCUUUUAUCCAUUUAUCUGUCAACGUUUGUGAUAUUUCUACCUCUUGAUUAAUGUGAAUAAUGCUUUGGUGAAUUUUGUUGUGCAAGUAUAAACCUAAGAUGCUCCUUUAAUUCUUUUGUUGUAUACCCAGAAGUCAGAUUGCUAAUCAUGUGGUAGUUCUCUUUUUAGUUUUUUGAGAAACUUUCAUAUUGUUUUCCAUAGUGGCUAUACCAUUUUACCUUCUUACCAACAGUACAUAAGAGUUCUGUUUUUUUCUACAUCCUCACCAACUUAUUUUCUGGGUUUUUUUUUUGUUGUUGUUUGUUUUGUUUUGUUUGAUAGUAGUUGUUUUUUUACAGUUUAGAUUUGCAUUUUUCUAAUGAUUAGAGAUGCUGAGCAUCCUUUUGAAUUGUUGAUCAUCUCUGUUGUUUUCUUUGGAGAAAUGCCUAUUCAGGUUUUUCCCCACCCCCAUAUUUUACUUUGCAUUUCGAGACAGAGUGUUGCUGAGUUGCUGAGGCUGAUCUCAGCAACUUUCGAUCCUCCUACCUCAACUUCCCGAGUCUCUGGGUUUACAAGUGUGUGCCACCAUAUCUGGCUAAGUUGUAGGAAUUUUUUAUACAUCCUGGGUAAAUAUUUUUUUUAAAUAUAUUUUUAGUUGUCAAUGGACCAUUAUUUUACUUAUUUAUAUGUUGGUGCUGAGCAUAGUGCCUCACACAUGCUAGGCAAGCACUCUCCCACUUAGCUACAAACCCCAGCCCAUUCUGGGUAUAUUUUAAUUUAACUAUUUAUCUAGAGAACUUCACUCAUGCUAGGCAAGGGCUGUAGUACUGAGUUAUAUCCCAUAACCUUACAUUCAGGAUAUUAACCCCUUAUCAGAAUUUAUUCCAAGUCCCAUUUAUCUGUUUUUGCUUUUGUUACAAAUGCAGUAUUGCAAUAUGUGGUGUAAUGAAGAUUUCCCCCUGUGUUUGAGCUUUAAGGGUUUUGUUGAGAAAGUUGGUGCCUACAUCUAUAUGAUGGAGUGUUGACCCCAUGUUUUCGUCUAAUGGUUGUAAACUUUCUGGUCUAAUUCCUAUGUCUUUGGACUAUUUCAGUUUGACUUUUGUGCAGGGUAAGAGAUAGGGAUAUGGUUUCAUUUUGCUACACAUAGCUGUCCAGUUUUCCCAGCACCAUUUGUUAAAAGUCUGUCUUUUCUCCAAAAUAUAUUUUUUGCACCUUUGUCAAGUAUCAGACGGCUAUAAGUAUGUGGGUUUAUCUCUGUCUUCUACUCUGUUCCAUUGGUCUUCAUAUUUAUUUUAAUGCCAAUGCCAUGCUGAUUUUGUUACUAUAACUUUGUAGUAUAAUUUCAGAUCAGGUGUUGUGAUACCUCCUGCAUCACUUUUCCUGUUGAUUAUUGCUUUGGCUAUUCAGGGUCUCCUUUUCUUUCAAAUGAAUUUAACACAUUUUUUUUCUAAUUCUGUGAAGAAAGUCAUUGGUAUUUUGAUGGGGAUUGCUUUGAAUCUGGAUAUUGCUUUUUGGUAGUAUGGCUUUUAAUGCAAUCUUAAGGGGAAAAUAAGUAGGCUUGAAUAUGGAAUAGAGACUAGUUAAAUAUUUUGAAGAAGAAUCUUAUAUACAUUUAAAAGCCUAGUAGUUGGUUUGUUUCUCUGUUUGUGGAAUCACUACCAAUCUUUUCACAUGACCUACAAUUGAGAAGGGAAGAAGAGAAAGUGAAAGAGAAAACUAAAUAAGAUUGUAUUAGGUGGAAUUAAUAUGUAAGCAUGAAUACUGAGCAUAUCACUAUAACAGUUCCUCUCUUUUGUUUCUCUUCAUUCCUAUUUAAUUCUAGGUACUUGACUUGUAGUUCUUGUGCUAUCCAGUCUUGGAAAUUUUAAUUAAUAUUUCAGUAGUAUGCAUUUCUUGAAUAGUGUGAUAAGUGAUGCUCAACUUGAAUGUACCUGCACCUCAUUUCACAAACUUUAGCUUAAAUAGUUAUCAUUAAGAAAUUUAGUCUUCAUUACAGAGGAUGUUGUCUUAAGGUAGAUUGUUAUUUUAAAUUGUAGAUAGUUUUCUGACUACUUUUAUUAGUAGAGAAGAAUCUUCAAAUAAAUUUGGCCCCAGUAGUUUAUAAUUCUUUUCUUUUUUGUUUUAAAUUCUAUCUUUAUACAUACAAAGCUAAGCUUUUUACAUAAAUUAUGGAAAGAAAUACAAAGUAUUAAAAUAAUAUAAGCUUAUUGAAUAUAUGACUGGUCAUGAUUAUCUUGCUUCAGCAGCUCUCUGAAUUUUUUUUCAUUACUGCUAUUAAAAUCAUUUAUAAAUUUAUUAUAACAAUGUAUAUUUUAAAUUUCUGGUGGCAAUAAGAAACUUCAUAUUAAUGAUUUAGGUUUUUUUCCCCCUUAGAAUCAGCUUAGUCAAUGUAAUAAUGCCCUGGAGAAUUCUGAAGAAUUGCUAGAAUUUGCGACAAGGUCCUUAGAUAUAAAGGAGCCUGAAGAUUUUUCAAAGGUACAAAAAAAAACACUUAUGAAAAAAAUUUACUCUAAUACACUUUAUAAAGGAGUUAACUCCUUUAGUUUUGGAUUUGUUUAUUCAUUUCUUUUUAAUUUAUUUUAUUUUUUCCCUUUUUUUUUCAUUUUGUUGUUCAGUCAUUUCUAAUGUUGAAGAAGCUUGGGAUUUCUGGAUAAUUAAAAUGCAAACUUCUCAAGCUGCUUUGUUUUAAAGGAGACACUUAUUAGUAUGUAUCUUUGGGAUCAUGAAAACGUUAACUAUUUUAGUUUAAUUUUUCUUUACUAUUCAAUUCAGAUGAAUCAAGUUACUUUCCUUUUAGUUAUAUCUCUAUUGGUAAUUAUUUAAAGGUACUUAUGUACUUGAAUGGAGUCAUAUCUUUCUUUUAGACUUUUCAUGACCGAGGAAAGAAGAUUGGUAUUACCAUUGAUGUGGUUCAAAACUAGUUUUCUAAGAGUUGAUUGGGAAAACAUUAUCAAUUGAUACAUAUAAGCAUUGUAACCCUGUGAAACUUCUUAUUGGAGACAAAUGUCCUGUUAUUUAGCCUAAUUAAUUGAAUGUUUUAUUAAAACAUGAAAAAAUAGGUCCUUGUUAAAGAGUAUGUUUGGAUGGAAAUAAAAGGAGUAAAAGCAGGUAGCUUAGCUUGCUUCUGUUUUAACUUAGAGUCUCUCAUUUAAAGGAUUCUUAUUUUAUUAUUUUUUUAAUUUUUUAACUUUUUUUUUUUUUUUUUAGUUUUUGGCGGACACAACAUCUUUGUUUGUAUGUGGUGCUGAGGAUCGAACCCGGGCCACAUGCAUGCCAGCUGAGCGUGCUACUGCUUGAGCCACAUCCCCAGCCCCUAUACUUAUUUUAAAUAGGGUGAUUUUAAAAUGAUUUUCAGUUUAUCAAUUUAAAACUCAAGGAUGUAGAAUUAGCAAAGACAAGGUAUGAACUAGGGGAAAUUAAACUAUAUAAUUAACAAAAUGUUACUGUAUAGUUUAUCAGGAUUAGAUUUAAGUUUGAUGUUCCUAAUUGUGGACUAGGCAGUGAAUUUUAUUAAUGUUAGAAAGGUACUUUUUAUAGUCCAUUUGUAUCUAGUCAGUGUUUUCAUUCUAUGACUUUCCUGUGAACUUGAGGUAGAAAAAAACUCCUUGAUAACAUUUUUACCCUAAAUCUUUGCAUUUUUAAAGAUGAACUUUAAAAAUUAAUUUAUUCUUUUAACAACAUAAAUCAAAGUAGACUACUACACUAAUUAAUUCUUAGAUUUGUAGGUGAGUUGUAAAAAGUUUACCGUUGCAUUUGUAGGACUUGCUGUGAAAAGGAAUUAUGAGGAAACUUUUUCUUCAAAAUACUUUAGUGUAGUAUGAGAUGUCCCCUAUAUACAGGGCAUUCACGUGAUAAACUUAAAUAUCUGGAACAUAGCCAAGAAACAUGCAGAAAGUAAAAAAAAAAUAAUAAUAUUUUGAGUCAUCAAAAUCAUUGUUAUAUGGAGUUCAUGAACAGGAAUUUAUAUUCCCUGUUCACAAUGAUGACUCAGAGUCUGUUGACUAUUAAUUUGAACACGGUUCUUCUAAUUUUUAGGGUGUUUUUUAAUAAUUCCUACUUGUCAACAGAUUCCCCUUCUGGUGGAGUAGGGUAACUGUUUCUGGCCAGUUUAAUCCUAACAGCAGGAGUUAGCCCUAGAGUGAAGAAGACAGGAAAACUAAAAAAUGUGAACACAAGAACUCAGUUGUGUUUAAAUAGGACUAUUACUUGGAAAAACUGUGAUAAAUGUUUAUUUAUUUCAAGUUUCUCUUUUUGUUGACAUUUUCAGUAUAGUUCUCUCCUCUUCCUCUCAAAUGCUGCACAUUUCUCUUUCUCUCUUCUUUGUUCUUUCUAUUUUUAAAUUUUUUUCCCAAAAAUUGUAAAUUGGAAAGGUUCUGAUAAAUCACAUUGUGGUUUAAAAAUAUUUUCUUAAUAUGCCACUUUGUUUUUUCAUUAUCUAAUUUGGUCUCUUCUCCCAGCAUUUUAUAGUACUUCUUUGUAUCUUAAACCAUUUGGAGAGGUGAAGAAAUGAAUUGUCAGUCUUUCCUAACCAGAAAUGUGAGUUUAUUCAAGAAAAAUUCUUAACUGCUUGAAGUUAUUUUCUUAGUAUCACUUCCUUAUCCAUCUGCAGUGGUCUGUAGGCCUGCUUCAAACACAUAGUUGUUGACAAAAUAAAGAGAGGACUUUUAAGAUUAAUUAUUAGACCAAUAGCAUAUUGUUAUAUCUGGAAAAAGAAAUUCUUUUAAGGCAUACUAUUUGUGAAUAUUUAAGUGCUUAAAUCAAAUUAAUAAGAAUAGUUCAUGGGAACAAAAACAAAUGAUUAAGGAAAAAUCCAGGCAACGGGUCCUAUCAUACUUCUUAUCUUUAAGAGUAUCUUACUACUAAUAUUUACAUUAUCAUGUUGCCUUACAUCAGCAUGAAGCUGCUCUGUUCACCACCAUCAUACAAUCUCAAAGUAAGCAAAUAGAAAUAGCACAAAUAGGAUGGGAUUUUUGAACAUAUUUUUACUUAAAAAAAAAAAAACCUACUAGAAGUUUGAUUGAUAGUAAGUAUAUGCAGAACGAUCACCAGCAAAUGGGAUACAAAUUAUUAGGUUUAUUGCUGGAUGAACAAGUUGCCAAAGCUCUACCAAGUCUGACCUUUCUGCUAAUAACUUGCCUGUGGAACACUGCUUGGAUCCUUUUCUUCAGAUGAUAUUCUUAUUCUAACCCUGAAUGUAGACCUUGAAUUCUCCCUAUGAAAAGAGUUGGGUCAGCAGAACAGUUUCCAAGUCAAUAUAAUUAAUUUGCCACCUCAUUACAAUGCAGUUGUCAGACUAGAAGUGAGCGAAUUGUUUCCUACCCAUGAGUGCCCACAGUAGAAUAAAAAGUGCAGAGUAGGGUAAAAGGGGAGCAGUGCCUUCUGCAUUUUACCACAGAUAAAUACAUUAAAGUGGGUUUAAUAUAUUUCUCUCUUCUAACUCAAAAUAACUCACUACUGGAAUAUUGUUCAGCAAGUGUCAGGCUCUGGCCACUGGGAGGAGAAAACAAGAAAAGAACUCACGCAGCACUUUCAAGGGAAAAUUAUUGGCGGAAGCUACUCAUGUUGGUUGAAGUCAGGAAUGCUGGGAGAGGAGAGGACCUUCAACAACAUUCUUUCAUUUUGAAGGCAAUUUAAAAACAAAUAUUUAUUAUGUAUAGCUCAAUCUAUAGUUUUCACCUUUAUAUGAAUUCCUCAGUUUCAAAGUUUGUUUCAAGUUAUUUACUGUGAUUUUGUGACAAAUACUUUUUUUUUUUUUAAUUUUUUAUUGUGGGUUGUUCAAAACAUUACAAAUUUCUUGACAUAUCAUAUUCCACACUUUGAUUCAAGUGGGUUAUGAACUCCCACCUUCACCCCAUACACAAAUUGCAGAAUCACAUCAGUUACACAUCCAUUGAUUUACAAAUUGCCAUACUAGUGAGUGACAAAUACUUUAAACAAUUGUGAUUUUUAAAAGUUCUUUUGUGAACAGAUAAAUAUAUGUGUAAAAAAUAUAAAACUUUUGAUGUAUGGAGUCAUUAGAAGGAUGAUGAUUUUUAUCUAAAGGAAAAUAGUAUUUUGAAACUACCUCUUUUUUUCCCCUUUGUAUAACAAGACAAAAAUGAUAAUAUUACGAAUAAAUGUAGAAGUAAUGAGUUGUUUCAGAGACCUAAAUAGUGAUGUUGAGUAGUGAUGUAACUAAUGACUAAUGCUUCUUAGAAGCUUUCCAGUGAUAUACAAUUCCAUAACCUAAAAUAAGUUUAAGCAUUUACUGAGACUUCUUCAUAACUCGUUAAAUGGAGUUAUGCAGAUAAAAAAUAAAUAUGCAAGCAGCAGAGCUAUGGUAAAUCCUGGGAUCAGUUGGUACUUAAUUCUUAAUUAAGUACCAGAUGCUUAAUUCUUAAUUAAUAAAAUUUAUCAUUCUUGAAAUUGAAAUAGAGGAAUCAAGCUGUGUAGUAAUAUGUAUCUUUUGGUUAGCUUUCUGCUUUGGGAGAAGAAAUUCUAGAAAAAAUUUAUUUUCCAUUUUAAGACAUUUCUUAAAAUUGGACACUUUUAGAGAAAUAUCUUUAGAUUUUGAAACUUUUCUUUCUUAUUGUACAAGAUAAUUUCUUUUUUUAUGGUGCUGGGGAUUGAACCCAGGGCCUUGUGCAUGCAGGACAAGCACUGUACCAGCUGAGCUAUAAUUUCUUAAAUUCUGCCUUCAUACAGUAUACAUACAAUAAAAUUUGACCUUUGGAAGAGGAGUCACAGAAUUUUCAAUUUUAUCAACAUAUAAAUAUAUGAGAAAACCCUUUUUCCUAGAUUAUCUGACUUUUCAACUAUUCCUUUACUGUUUUUUCACAAUGUGAUAUAUGAAAUAAUACCAUAAAAACUUUGCAUGCAUGCAUAUGUGCACAUACACACAAACACGAAAAAUGAUUCACUAAAUUAAGCAACACUAGACAUAAAAAAGAAUCAUCUUGGUCAGUUUAAAAAAUAGUAAUGAUCUUCAUAUCAUUGGGUUAUAUAAGGGAGAUCGAUAAGUAGCAUUCCUCCAACAAAGUUCACAACCAAUUAAGAGUUAAGGUAAAACAAUAAAACUGAUAAAAGGCCAAAUGCUGAUAAUAUAAUAUUGUAUAAUAUGAGUUAUACCAUUGGGCAAGUUUCUUAGUAUUGAAUCCCAGAAUUAGACAGACUAGCCCUCCCACAUUUGUUCAACAGUGGCUACCUCAGUUUACUGUGGGUGGGAGUCCUCUUUCAGUGAAACUGAAAGCAGAGAGGGAAGGAACACAACAUGUAUUCUCUGUGGGCAAACAAACUGCCAGAAAAAGUGGAAGAUACUGAACUUCUCAUUUCUAUUUUGUCCUUUCAAACUCAUAAUCAAAUAAGUCAUAUUACUUACCAAGAAGAAAUGAGGGACUAGAAAGGUUAAAGGAGUAAUGCUAAUGGCAUUUCCUCCAUGUGUAAAGAAAUAUCAGGUACAGAGGAGUCCCCUCUUUCCCUCCCUUGUAUUUAAGAUCUUUGUUUUGUAAUUCUAGCUAUGACAGUAAUUUUUAAAAAUCAGUAUAAUUAACUUUCUUUACAUUUCUUAUCCCUGGUACCAAACUAGUUUCAUGUCUUAAAACACAUAUAGAUGCCUUCCACAGAAUUGGACUGUUUGCUGUAGAAUAAAGACCUUGGAAAGAACUUUUAGAAUCAUUAAGGAUCAAAAUCCCUUAGUAAAGAAAUAAAAUGAUUAGUAUACAAGGUUACAGAGUUGGAUAAUGGUAAUGCUGGAACUGUGUAACAUAAUUAUCUCUGAAAUCUCAGUGAUAUUCAGACUAAAAUAUUUUAGGGUGGUUAUAAAAGUGACCAAAAGUAGAAUCAGUGUUAGAAUUGAAGGAGAAAGGCCAAAGAAGCAUAGCUAUAUACAUCUAAUUAACAUUAAAUUUAAUUAAAUAAUACUAUUACUGCAUACCAGGCAUUAUGCUAGGCACUAGGGAUAGAGUUUUCAGCAAAAUGGCCAUGUUCUACCUUUGAUAUAUUAUUAACUGUGCUUAAUAGUGUGAGAGAAAACUUUUGGCUAUAUUAUAUUGUAUACAAAUGUAAAAGGCCAAUAGUUUUUGCAUUUUCAUUGUUUUUCCAUGAUUGGACCAACACCAAGUUAUAACUCUGUCCCCUUCUUAAACUUGUACCUAAAAAAAAAUAAGACAUAUGUAUAAUAGGUUAAAGUUUGCAGCUUCUGUGAAAUCACCUGAGGGAAAGAAAGACCCCAUUUCUAGAAGUACUUCUCUGGUCCCUCCUCAUCUGAAUUUCUGGCACUACAACCUAAUUCUUUGGGGUAAAAGACUCGUAAGCUGCAGCCUAGUUUUGUACAUUAGCAGGCAAACUCUAGAAUGCAAAGUUCUUAUCUACUCAAACAUCUCUAAAGAAAAAUUAAAGAACAGAUUUGACAUGUACAAGAAAAAUCACUAGGAUGCACAGAAGUGUGUGUCCCAUAAAGAGAUUUAUUCUAGUUGAAAAAUGUCAGACUGAAUGAAAUGGAGGUGUGUUUUAAUGACCUUAAGGUAAGAAAAAACAUUUAAAGUCAUUUAGAAUUAGUUUGGAGUGUUUUUCUCCUUUUAAGGGAUUUAUAUGGGGUCUGGUUUUUCUAUUAAGUUCUAACAUCACAUCAUGCAAACUUAUGUGAACGGUACAGAUUUUCUGUAAUUUAUGUUUUGGUGAAUAUGAACAACUAAUCUAUUGCAGGGUUUAUAUCCUAACUUUUCUUGCAUGUCACUGCCAUUGAAACUCGCAUGAAAAGCACUAACUACCUUCUUUCUCUUCUCCCUGAUUUGCUUCAAGGCUGCCAGACAGAUCAAGGAUAGGUAUGGUAUAAAAACUAUAUUUUAUUUAAGUAUCAAUAUUGAAGUCAGAAAUGAAAUUCAGAAAUAGUUUUUUAUUAGAAUUUUGGUUUAAAUAAAAAUGCCCAAUGGCCAAGUAUUUUUACAAAAUAAAGAUAUCUCUAUAUCCUCUUGGGGUAAUCAGUAAGAUUUUUUUAAAAAAAAUGUGUUUCAAGAACAUAGUUAUGGACAAUUAUGUGCUUCCAAAAGAAUUUCAUUUCUGGUAUAAUAAUAUAGUUAGUUUUAGAAAAGUUCUUAACUAGUUGUAUUAGUGGAGAGGGUACUAUUUUGAAUAAUUUAAAAAUAAGUAUUCCUGGAAUGCAUUUUCAUUGUUUUUAGAUUUAAAUAUAAGCAGAUCUUAUUUUCAGAGAAGUCACAGUAUUUUAAAAUAAGUCCUCAAUAGCUAAAGUUCUUAUACUUCACUCUUUAACACCUUUGUAUUCUCAUUCUAUCCUGUUCCUGGUGCCAUCUCUUUCUGUUUCUAAUGCCAUCACUAUCUAGUUUAUGUUCUGUGGGAAGAGAAAAUUAUUAAAGACGUUAGCUUAGAAUGUUUUUCUCAUUGGUAGAGGUAAUAAUAAAAAAGAGAACUUAGCAGUUGCAAAAUGAAUAUAUCAGAAUGCUUAAAUUGCUGCUGGCUACAUUUGGAUUGUGUUCACACAGCAGGAAUGGAUUUGGUCUGCUUGACCAGUCAUUGAGCAUUGUCUGUAGAGAGAACAUAACUUAAGGUUCUUCAUCUGAGGAUCAUAAGAAUUUCUGAAAGGCAAAGCUCUUCAAACAUUAUUCUGAAUCUUAUAUUAAAUUGUUGUUCAUCAGAUAAUUCAUGAAAAUACUCCUUUUGGAUUGUAUGAAAAAAACCAGUGUAGCCAUUGUUAAUUUUUGCAGGAAUUUUCAAUUCUGGUUUCUCUUAUUUUUUAAUUUGACUAGAAGGCAAGAUUUACACAGUAGUAAAAGCAUUUUUAGCACAAAUAUUAAUUUUUUAUCUUUUAUAUUUUACAUCAGGUAGUAGUUAAAGGUAUAGGUUGUUCUUAUACAUCCUGGAUAUAGAAAAAAGAUUAUGAGAAGUUUUUAUUUUAUUUUAUUUUUUCAUUGUUUUUUUUAAGAGACAAGGCCUCAUUGUGUUGGCCAGCUGGACCCAAACUCCUGGGCUCAAGCAGCCCUCUUAUCUGAGCUUCCAAGUAGUUGAGAUUAUAGGCACAUGCCACCAUUCCUGAUGUGAUUAUGAGAGGUCAAAGGUGAAACAUUAGCAAUAUGAGUAAUGACUAAUACAAUAGUUUAUUAAUGAAGUAGAUUUGAGUUGUGUCUGCUGGAAUUUGCUAUGAGCAAUCCAAAUUCCAUUCUGCCUAGAUUAUUUUUCCUGUUUAGCUACUAUUCUGUUACAUUCUCCUCUGGUUCCUUAUUUUUUGUAUUAGAAGUCACUUCCUAAUCAGACUUUGGGCUGUCCAAAGACCUUGUGAGAGACCUUGCAAAAUCUUCAUUUCAAGAUUCUGUAUGGUUUUGCUUCCCAGAAUUCUGUCCUUAUUCCUGAUCUCUUUCUCUUUGUCCAGAUUUGGCAUAAUUUUAUUUUAUGAGCACCUUUCAUGACUGUAUUCUUCACUGAAGCUUGACUUUACUUCCUCUUCUCAGCCAGCAGGCCAGGAUUCCUUAUUUCUGUUAGGGAAAAUUUCACUUUUUAAUUUGUUUUGCUCAAAGUUUAUAUAUAUAUUUUUUUAUUUUUUGGCUACUUUCAAAGUAUUUGCUUCCUGCCUGAGGAGUAUUUCUGGGUCUUAGCUUAAUUAUUUAAACACGAUUUUAGCUUCAUAAAACCCAGAUUUCCCUAAUAUAGUUUCUGAUCUCUCAGAAAACGAGUUUCUAGAAUUCCAUCAUUACCUUUUGUAGUAUGAAAAUAGUUUUAAAAUAUAGUCAUAAUGAAAUAUUGUUUCAUCAAGCUAAGAAGGGAUUAUUCUCUUAUGUAAAGAUGAAUUUUAAGGAAGAGUUUAAAAUCUGAGCAAGGAAUCAUAUUUUUAAAAAUGACCAAAUUAUAUUGUUGUAUUAUGUGCAUGUACAAAGAUGUAACAAUAAAUUCCACUAAAAAUUUUUAAAAUGAACUAAAAGUAUAUUGAAACUUCAGUAUCAUUUGCUAUGAUUUAAGGUAAAAGAAUGGCAGGAGUGAGAAGGAAAACUGAAGACUGAGAAAUAAUACAUGGCAUAUUUCCAAAAAUUUAAAAUCACUGGUGUAUAACUUAGGGAACUUGGUAAUUUGGGAAGAUGAUUAGUUGAGAGAGAGAGUGAGUGAGUGAGUUAUUGCUGGGUGUGAUGGCACACUGAGAAAGGGGGAAUCAUAAUUUUAAGGCCAGCCUCAGCAAUUUAGUGAGGCUCCACACAACUUAGCGAGACCCUGUCUCCAAAAAAAAAAAAAAUUAAAAAGAGAUGAGGAAUGUAGCUUUAUUGGUAAAGUGCCUCUGAGUUCAAUUCCCAGUAUACCCCCCACAAAAAAAAAAAAAAAAAAAAAAAAAAGGAGAAAAGGAGAGAAUUAUUGGUUCUUGGAAGAGAAGGAUCAUGAAGAGGAGAGGCAAAUUAGGUUGUCUGAGAAAAUUAAAUGUGUUCAUGUGUUUUAUAUAGUUGCUUUAUCUUUGCAAAAAGAAGGAAGCCAUCCUUGAGUUCAGCUGAUACUAUUAGAAGUAAACUCAUAAGCAAGUCAAGGUGAAACAUGCUUAACCACAUGAAUCUCUAGAGAUGAUUUAGAAAUUUGAGAUUUGUAAUUUGGGCUUUGAGGCACAUUUGUUUAAAUAUAUUCAGUUUAAAAAUAAAAGAUAUUGAAAGAGUGUAGCAUGGUUGCAUAUUUGAAUUGAUUCAUUUGAACUUUUAAGUUUUCAUUGACUAGGAACCAGUUUUAUUUUAGGCUUUGCUAAACCUUUCUAAUCCACUUUUGGUAGACAUUCUUUUUGUUUGUACUUAUAGUGAUUAAAUCAAGUUUUAUAGAUUUUUCAGGUUUCAUAUUUUAAAUUUUCUAAAAUACUUUCUGAUAAUUUCCCUCAGCAUUUCUCGUUAAAGAGUCAUGUUGUUUAUCAGGCUUAGAAGAAACCAAGUAAGUUCAAACCCAUUCACUGAUUUAGAGAGUGUUUAGUAAGAACCUAUUUUAAUGUAACUCUUACUGAUGUCUUCAAAGGAUACUUGAGACUAUAAAGAACAACAUACAAGACUAAGCGUUUAUUCCUAACUUCUUGAUAUAAUUUGAAAUUUAUUAUUUGAGAAUAAACAGCUUAAUGUAAUAAGUGUGGAAUACUAGCAUUAUAUUUGUCAAUACAGUAAGCAGUCAUUUUGAGUUCUCUUCCCUAUAAAUUGAUUUUAAUGUAGUACUUUCUUUUUGGUAAAUAAAUCAACUGUUUAUUCAUUGUUGUGUAGUGAUUACUUUUUUAGUUGUAAAUAACUGAAAACAGCAACAUUUUGACAUUUUUCAUUUCCAAAUAAGUGAAUACAUCUCUGUCUUGGUUAGAUUUGAUAGAUCUGAUUGACUAGGCGUGGCCUGGUUCCCUUUGUUCUUCCAUCUCUAUUUACUUUCUCUCCCAAAUUAGGUACUAGGAGAAUGCAUUCAUGAAUAGUGCUUCUGUGUACCAUUCUUUGAUCAAAGAUUAUAAAGGACUUUGUAACACCUGUGGAAAUUUACUGUUAAUUUGAAAUAUAAUGAUAGUAAAAGGGUUUUUUUUGAUCUCUAGUUUUAAUUGAAAAUAGUUUCCUUACACUAUUGACAAAUUAAGAUCUAGCUUGGCUUCAUUCUUUUUUUUAACUUCACAUUCAUCUAGUAAGUGUUUGUUGAAGUCCUAUUAUUUCCAUGGCAUGUAGUUCCAUGGGGCUGUUUCUCUUAAUAUCCUUCCAUGUAUGUAGCUAAUGCUGACAGAUCAGUGACCUCUGCUGGUAUGAUAUUCACUGGUCAUGAUUUCACCUUUUUCCUUUCUCAUCCAUGGCAUGUCUUUAACAGGUACUACUAUACUAUACAAUAUUAUAUCCAUCUGCUUCAAUUCUUGUUGUAGGGCACACGAUGUAGCUAUUACUACAGGGGAGAAUGUUUGAAUCAGGUUGUAUAUACACUUCACUAUUUGGCAUGUGAAAAGGAGUGGGGGUGGCAUCAGGAGGUCAGUAUGAUUGAGUGUACAGAGGUUCAGAUGAAGGUUGGGUCUGGUAAGGAUUAUUUAUAUGGGAUAUUUCUUUUAUUGAUAUUGGCACAUUAUACGGUUGUAUAAAACUGGAUGGAAUUGCUAAGUUAUCUUAGAGGUCUUUAAAAGGCAUUUUUCAGAUUUUUACUUAAUUUUCAAAAGACAGAUUUAUAUUUGACUGUUCUAGUCUCUGAAAUCAUUAGAAUGAAAUAAUUUUUGUCUUUUCAUUUUAUACAUUAAAUGAUUUGAUACUUCUUGUUCUUCUGUUUUAAAAAGUAUAUUUGUGUUUACCAUAGAGUCACAAUGGCUUCAGCCUUUCGCCUUUCUUUGAAACCAAAGGUCAGUGACAGCAUGACUCACUUAAUGGUGGAUUUCUCUCAGGAAAGACAGAUGCUGCAAACUUUGAAGUUUUUGCCAGGUAAACAGCAUGUAUUACAUGUACAGUUUUUAAUAAAAAUUUUUCCUGCAAUGCUUUUCUGUAAUGAACAUUGGUAUAUUAAAGAAGCAUAGUGUGAUUUUUUUUCUUCAUUCCACUAAAUAUUUAAAUUUGGUAGUCUUUAUUUUUAGAGAAUUAUUUUACUGGUAGUAAAUAUUCUAUUUCAAGAAUACCAUUAAGGAGUAUCAUUUGAUGGUUAACAGUGGGUCUUUAGACCAAACUUUUUUAGAUUUGAAUUUUGCUGUAUACUUGCCAUGUAAUCCUGAACAAGUUAUUUGACUUGCCUCAUUUCUGCUUCUUUAGAAUGUGAUAUUAUUCUAGGGUUUUUGUAAGGAUUAAAUGAAUUGAUACUUCUAAGGCAUUUGUAUAAUAGUAUAUGGCACAUAGUUAAAGCUCAGAGGAUGUUAGCUGUUGGCAUAUUAUGUGAUUGUAUAAAGCUGGAUGGAAUUGCUAAGUUAUCUUAGAGGUCUUUAAAAGGCAUUUUUCAGAUUUUUACUUAAUUUUCAAAAGACAGAUUUAUAUUUGACUGUUCUAGUCUCCAAAAUCAUUAGAAUGAAAUAAUUUUUGUCUUUUCAUUUUACAAAUUAAAUAUAUAUGUAUAUAUAUAUAUAUAAAAACAGCAGAUUGUAUUACAAUUCAUAUUACAUAUACAGCACAAUUUUUCAUAUCUCUGGUUGUAUAUAAAGUAUAUUCACAACAAUUCAUGUCUUCAUACAUGUACUUUAGAUAAUGAUGUCCAUCACAUUCCACCACCUUUUCUAACCCCCUGCCUCCUCCCUUCCCUCCCACCCCUCUGCCCUAUCUAGAGUUCGUCUAUUUCUCCCAUGCUCCCCUUCCCUACCCCACUAUGAAUCAGUCUACUUAUAUCAGAGAAAACAUUUGGCAUUUUUGGGGGGGGAUUGGCUAACUUCACUUAGCAUUAUCUUCUCUAACUGCAUCCAUUCACCUGCAAAUGCCAUGAUUUUAUUCUCUUUUAUUGCCAAGUAAUAUUCCAUUGUAUAUAUAUAUAUGCCACAUUUUUUUUUAUCCAUUUAUCUAUUGAAGGGCAUCUAGGUUGGUUCCACAGUUUAGCUAUUUUGAAUUGUCCUACUAUAAACAUUGAUGUGGCUGUGUCCCUGUAGUAUGCUGUUUUUUCGUAUAGACCAAGGAGAGGGAUAGCUGGGUCAAAUGGUGGUUCCAUUCCCAGUUUUCCAAAGAAUCUCCAUACUGCUUUCCAUAUUGGCUGCACCAAUUCCACCAGCAAUGUAUAAGUGUGCCUCUUCCCCCGCAUCCUCGCCAGCACUUAUUUUUGUUUGUCUUCAUAAUAGCUGCCAUUCUGACAGGAGUGAGAUGAAAUCUUAGAGUAGUUUUAAUUUGCAUUUCUCUAAUUGCUAGAGAUGAUGACAUUUUCUCAUAUAUUUGUUGAUUGUACAUCAGAAGAAAGAUAUACAAAAAUUAACUAAAAUGCAUCAAAGACCUUGCAAUUAGACCAGAAACUAUGCAACUUAUAGAGGAAAGCAAAGGUCAACACUCCAGCAUAAAGGACAGGUAAUGAUUUUUUUCAUUAGGACCCCUAAAGCUUGGGACAUAAUGCCAAGAGUUAAUAAAUGAAAUGGUAUUAAAUUAAAAAGUGCCUGCACAGCAAAGGAAGGAGUAAUGUGAAAAAAGAACCUACAGAAUGGAGGAAAAUCUUUGUUAGCUACAUUUCCGACAGAGAAUUAAUACCUAGAAUAUAUAAAGAACUCAAAAAGGUUUGCACCAAAAAAACCACCUAAUUAAUAAAUGGGCAAAUAAAUUAAACAGAAACUUCAUAAAAGAAGAAAUAAAAUGGCCAUUCACACCAGUCAGAAUGUCAGUCCUCAGGAAUUCAAACAAUAAUAAAUGCUGGAAAGGAUGUGGAGAAAAAGGAACACUUACACUGUUGGUGGGAUUGUAAAUUAGUACAUUCACUAUGGAAAUCAGUAUGGAGGUUCCUCAAAAGACGAGGCAUGGAAGCACCAUACGACCCAGCCACAAUAUUUAUCCCAAAGAAUUAAAGUCAUCAUAGGGAUACAGUCAUACCCAUGUUUUUAUAGCAGCACAAUUCACAAUAGCCAAACUAUGGAACUAGCCCAGGUUCCAUCAACAGCUGAAUGGAUACAGAAAAUGUGGUAUAGAUACACAAUGGAUUUUUAUUCAAUCACAAAAAAUUAUUUAUUUGCAGGAAGAUGGAUGGAAUUUGAAACGAUUAUGCUAAGCAAAAUAAGCCAAAGUCAGAAGAUCAAGGGUCAUGUUUUCUCUCAUAUAUAGAAGCUAGAGAGAAAAAAGGAAAAGAAAGAUAAGGGGUGAUCUCAUGAAAAGCAAAGGGAGACCCGCAGAGUAGAGGAAGGUAGGCCAGCGGGUGAGAGGAGGGGAGGAAAGGGGAAAGCUCUGGGGAAAGAUAUUGAUCAAAUUAUAUUGUAACAACAGAUUCACCAUUAUGUACAAAUACAAUGCACCUGUAAAAAAGAAAAGUAGCUCCUUUUCAUUUCAAACUUGGUUUUCUUCCUAGAACAAUGUAUGAGUGUGCCUUUUCCUCCACAGAGGGUACCACUGUUACUAACAUCUGUUUAUCUUUCCUGAAAUAGUCUAAAUCUAUACAAACAUCACCACAUGUAUAUGCAGAAUCAGGUAGUUGCUAAUAUUUGGCAGUUUUUACCCUCAAAAAGAUAAAUUUGUUUCAUUCAGUCUAAUAUAUAAUCCACCCCCUUUUGAAAAUGGAAGCAUACAUAUACACUGUUAAAUACUUUCUCUUUGCCACUUGACAAUAUGUAGGAGUUCUUUCCAGAUCAUUAUAGAUCUACUUCAUUUUUAAAAAAAUAACUAGAUAGUAGGAAUUUAAUUAGUUCUUCUUGAUGGAUAUUUAAGUUUAUGGUCUUUUUCUAGUAGUGGCAAUGAUGUGGUAACAAAAUGCUUAGGUAUUUUGCAGAGAUAAUAUAUCAAUAUGUCUCAAGGAUAAAUUUCUAGAAAUGGAAAUGUAUGUGUAUUUUAAAUUUUAAUAAUUAUUUAAAUUGUCAAGGAAAUUUCACAAUUUAUGCUUCCCUGAAAAUAUUUGAAUGACUGUAUUCUUAUACAGCCACAGUUUUCAGAGUUUUUAAUUUUUUUCAUUCUAUUCUAAUAGUGACAUAUGGGUUAUCUGAUUGUUUUAAUUUUCAUUUCUUUAAGUGUGAAUGUAUUUAUCCUAUCUUCAUAAGCCACUUUAAAAAAUGAACUCCUUAUCUAUGAUUUUUCAUACAAUGGUUUAUAUUUUCAUUAAUGAUAUAUAGCACCUUUUAGUAUAUUAAGGAGGUUAGCCUUUGGUCCUAUAUGUGGCAUAAUUCCCUCUUAGUCAUUUGUCUAUUGGUUUAUAAUGAUUUUUUUUUCCUAGCAGAAAUUUUAAUUUUUAUAUAAUCAAAUAUGUCACACUUUUUCUUUGUGACUUUUAGGUUUUAGAAAGACCUUACUUGGACCUUCCCCAUUGCAAGAUUAUAAAAAUAGAUAUACUUACUUUUUUUAAUAUUCUUUUUUGGUUGUAGAUGGACACAGUACCUUUAUUUUAUUUAUUUAUUUUUAUAUGGUGCUGAAGAUCAAACCCAGUGCUUCUCACAUGCCAGGCAAGCUCUCUACCACUGAACCACAACCCCAGCCCCUAGAUUCAUUUUCUUAUGUUUGUAGCCUUUUAAAACUAGACUUUAAUAUUUAGAACAAUUUUAGAUACAUAGUAAAACAAUGGAAAGUAUGAGAAUUUCCCAUAUACCCACAAAACAUGCUUAGCUCCCUCAUUAUCUACAUCACCCAUCAGAGUGGUACAUUUGUUAUAACUGAUAAAUCUACAUUGACACAUCAUUGUCACCUCAAACUCUGUAGUUUACAGUAAGGUCCACCCUUGGUGUUAUACAUUCUAUGGGGUUGCACAAAUUUAUAAUGACUGUAGCCACCAUUAUAGUAUCAUACAUAUUAUUUUUAUUGUCCUAAAAAUUCUUUGUAUUCUGGGGCUGGGGUUGUGGCUCAGUGGCAGAGUGCUUGUCUAGCAUGUGUGAGGCACUGGGUUCGAUGCUCAGUACCGCAUGUAAAUAAAUGAAUAAAAUAAGGGUUCAUCAACAUAUAAAAAAUUUUUUUUUAAAUUCUUUGUAUUCUGCCUCUUUAGCCUUCUCUCCUCCCAACCCCUAGAAAAUACUGAUUCUCACCCUUUCCAUAGUUUUGCCAUUUCCAGAGGUCAUAUGGGUGGAGUCAUACAGUAGGUAGCCUUUUCAGAUUGGUAUCUUUUACUUAGUGAUAGGCAUUAUGUCCUCCAUGCCUAGUUUUUUGUAGCUUGAUAAUUCAUUUCUUUUUAGCACUGAAUAGUCCAUGUACCACAGUUUGUUUAGGGCAACUUGGUUUCUUCCAAGUUUUGGUAAUAAUGAAUAAAGCUGCUGUAAACAUCUAUAGGCAGGUUUUGUGUGGACAAAGGUUUUUCAGCUCCUUUGGGAAAAUACUAAGGAGUGAGGUUUCUGGAUACUAUAAUAAGAUUAUGUUUAGUUUUUCAGGAAACCUCCAAUACGGUCUUAUAAAGUGUCUAUAUUAUGUUGCGGUCCCACCAGCAAUGAAUAAAAUCCUUGUUGCUCUACAUUUUGUUGCUUUACAGCAUUGGUACUGUAGUGUUAUUUCAUUGUUGUUUUAAUUUGCAUUGCUUUAAUCAUGCACCACAUGAGGUAGAGCAUCUUUUCAUAUACUUCCUUGUUAUUUGAAUAUCUUCUUUGGUGAAGUCUCUGUUUAGAUCAUUGGCCUAUUAUUUUUUAAUUCUUAAUCUGAUAAUUCCAUCACCUCUGCCAUAUCUGAGUCUGUUUCUGAUUCUUCUUACAGUCUUUUCGGACUGUAUUUUUUGUCUAUAGUAUGCUUGUAAUUUUUUCUUUAUAGCCACAUAUGAUAUAUUAGGUUAAAGAAACUGUUGUGAAUAGGCCUUUGAUAAUGUGAUGGUAAGUUAUGCAGGGAUAGGAAUCAUUUUAUGGUGUUUUGAUUAUGUCUCAGUCUUUUUGUGAAUCUGUGCCUUUGAACUAUGAACUUUACAGGUGCAUCUCAGUAGCCCCCACUCUUACUUGCCCUUAGGUAGAACAAGAUGGCUAGAGUGGACUGGAGUGAGACUGCUAUUUCCCUUUGUCCUGGUGGAGUAGCCAGCUAGAGUUUUUUAUUUCCUUUCACCCAGCUCAGUUAGGCUCAGAUAAUCCCAAAGGGGUUAGACUCUGGUUAGUUUUUUUUUUUUUUUGAGAGCAGAUCUUGUUAAGGAAAACAUAAGCUCUGGUGUAUUUCAAAAUGUUUCCUUUUCUACUCCCUAUGGUAUAAAUAUAAGUGGAUUUUCCUCCAUUGUUCCUGAUGACAACCUGUUAAGCUCUUAGAGGAAAAAUUCACAAAUAGUAGGUGCCCUUCUACAAUUGGAGCCACCUGGGGUUUUUGACUCAAACCUACCCACACUGAGCCUCCGGCAGCUCAUCAAUUACAGUUUAGGUAUCCUUACCCCAGCACUGGUUUCUGCUUAGGUUUUUGCUCUAGUAAAUUGUGACUCUCUGUAUUUACCUGUUUGUCUCUUCAUAUUGAGGCCUUUUAAUCUCAAGUCUCUUACAGGUCUAAGAAUUAUUAUUGAUUUUUCAGUUUGUUCAACCUUGUUUGUUGUUAGAAAGGGGUGGCUACUACCAGAUUUCUUAUGUAUGUGCCAGAUUGAAAAGUAGAAGUCCCUGGGAGUAAAAUCUGGGUAAUUAGCAUAUGUAUCAUCUCAAGCAUUUAGAAUUUGUACUGGAAACUUUCAAAACCUUUUGCUGUUUUAACAGGUCUAAUGAAUUAUUGUUAACAAUAGUUACCCUACCUGUGAGGCACUGGGUUUGAUCCUCAGCACCACAUAAAAAUAAAUAAAGGUAUUAUGUCUAUCUACAACUAAAAAAAAAUUUUUUUAAAGUACAGUGGGGUAGGAGGGAAGAAUAGAAGUUCAUUGGAUUAGACAAAGAAAAAUGAAGGAAGGUGGCGGGAUGGAAUAGGAAAGAGUAGAAUGAAACAGACAUUACUUUCCUAUGUACAUAUAUGAAUACACAACCAGUGAAACUCUACCUCAUGUUCAGCCACAAGAAUGAGAUCCUAAUUAGAAUUUGUCAAGAUACACUCUACUAUCAUGUACAUCUAAAGAACAAAUUAAAAAUCAGAAUAGGGCUGGGGAUAUAGCUCAGUUGGUAGAGUGCUUGCCUUGCAUGCACGGGGCCCUGGGUUUAAUCUCCAGCACCACACACACAAAAAAAGAAAAAAGGAAAAAAGUACAGUAUGUUCAGAAAUAACAAGUCAUUCUCGAUUAUUUAUCCUUAGCAUGUUUAGAAUUUACCUUUUGCCAUCUAAGAUUUUAGUGAACGUUGAAUAAGAAAAAUAGAAAACUUUAUAGAUUUUUUUAUAGCCUAUCAUUAAAAGGUGCUUUGAAAAUAGUUUAGGUUGGUUUAUUUAUUCACUUUUGAAUAGUUCAAAAGCAGGAUGAAAAAGCAAAGCUUGGAUGACAAACAUAAAUAUUUUAUUAGUGCUAUAAUAAAUGAGAAAUUAACUCCCCUACACACAUACUUUUGUUUCUUCUCUUCAGUCCCUAAAGCUCCAGAGAUAGACCCAGUGGAGUGUUUGGUGGCUGACAACUCUGUAACAGUAGCUUGGAGAAUGCCAGAAGA
rnacentral:lncRNA from 1 species